CCUCCUCCUAUGCCAGGUGUGGUGACUCCAUGGCCUCCAUGAUGGACCAGUCUAAACAGUGGGACUACUACCCUCCAGGACCGGGACCAGGACCAGGACCCAGACGGGAGGACAAGAGGGAGAAGGAGAGAGAGAGACCCAGGGAGAGACCACAUGAGAGGGAGAGAGAGCGAGAGCACAGCCCCUCCACUAUGGCUUACAACAGUGACGAGGAGCGGUACCGUGGUUACCGGGAGUACCAAGCGGAGCGUGGCUACAGCGGCGGUGACCGCGGAGGAGGUGACCGUGGAGGGGGGGAGCGUGGCGGAGUAGACCGCGGAGGUGACCGUGGAGGGGGGGAGCGUGGCGGUGACCGUGGGAGUGGUGGUGAGCGUGGUGGUGGAGGCGGCGAGCGCCACAGAGACAGGUCGAGCCGUGAGAAGGAGGAGAGACACAGAGAGAGAAGACACAGAGAGAAGGAGGAGGGGAGACACAAGUCAUCACGCAGUAGCAGCAGGAGGAGACAUGAUAGUGAAGAAGGAGACGGUCACAGGAGACACAAACACAAGAAGAGCAAGAGGAGCAAUGGGAGGGCAAGGAACCCAGUGAUGACAUGGGAGGAGACCAGGAGAACCAGGACCACCAUGGAGUGAUGAAGAGAACACCCUCCUCUCCCUCUGUCCCUCUUCAUCUCUCUCUCUCUGUCUACAUGGGAGGAGACCAGGAGAACCAGGACACCAUGGAGUGAUGAAGAGAACACCCUCCUCUCCCUCUUCCCUCCAUCUCCCUCUGUCC
ensembl:lncRNA